GCCAGCCUACGUGGGCCGUUGGGGGCUCGCCCGUGCGGGGCCAACCUCUGUCCGCCCCCUAGAGCCUGACAGGAGGGGCCGCUGCGUUGUCACUGCGCAUGCGCUCACGGACUGAGCAUGCUCAGUGGCAUCUGCUGAAGCCGCUGCCCUCAGAACACCUUCAUUGCAGAUAGCAGCACAUGAACAACCUCUUCAUACUGCAGCAGAAGGCGAAAAAAUCCCCAGAGUCACUGCCAAGCUGACUUGGAGGGAAGUUCCUUCCUGGAACCCAACAGGAACGACAGAGACAGGGGCUGACCUGAAUCCUGAUCCUGCCCCCUCAUAUGUCUAUCAUGGAGGAAAUCAUUUUGCUGAGGAUCAUGGAUGGGAAGUCUGGA